UACGGAGGGGGCGAGCGUUGUUCGGAGUGACUGGGCGUAAAGAGCACGUAGGCGGUGUUGUAAGUCAUUAGUCAAAGGCUAGAGCUCAACUUUAGUAAGGCUAGUGAUACUACAAUACUAGAGUAUCAGAGAGGAUUGCAGAAUUCCUGGUGUAGCGGUGAAAUGCGUAGAUAUCAGGAGGAAUACCGGUAGCGAAGGCGGCAAUCUGGCUGGCAACUGACGCUGAGGUGCGAAAGCGUGGGUAGCAAACAGG
rnacentral:rRNA from 1 species